GCCAGGCACGGUGGCGGGCACCUGUAGUCCCAGCUACUUGGGAGGCUGAGGCAGGAGAAUGGCGUGAACCUGGGAGGCGGAGCUUGCAGUGAGCCAAGAUCGCGCCACUGCACUCCAGCCUGGUCGACAGAGCGAGACUUUUGAGACAGAGUCUUGCUGUGUCACCCUGGCUGGAGUACAGGGGUGCAAUCUCGGCUCACUGCAACCUCCGCCUCCCAGGUUCACGCCAUUCUCCUGCCUCAG
rnacentral:SRP_RNA from 1 species